UGAUCAAUGAGAUGUCUGUCAGUCUUUAGGUCUUAUUGACAUCUCCCAUGUUUUUAAAAUUAAUACAGCUACCUAGAAGAGUGGUAUGAGUUAGGCAUUCCUUUCUAAUCCUAGGUUCAACCAAGUGUUAAAAAAUUUUUUGAUAACAGCUUUAUCUAGAUGUAAUUUACAUACCAUACAAUACACUCAUUUAAAAUGUGCAGUUGUUUUUACUAAAUUCACAAAAUUAUAUACCUAUCAGUGCCAUCAGUUUUAGAAAUUUUUCAUCACUCCAAGGAGAAACUCUAUACCCUUUAGCUAUCAUUCCCACUAACCUUCUGUGACCCCUUCAUACCUAAACAACCACUAAUCUACUUUUGACUUGAUAGAUUUUCUUAUUCUGAACAUUUCAUAUAAAUGGAAUGCUAUGGCCAGGUGCAGGGGAUGAACAUCUAUAAUCCCAGUGACUCAGGUGUCUGAGGCAGGAAGAGUGCAAGUUUGAGACCAGCCUGAGCAAGACCCUAUCUCAAAAUAAAUAAAUAAAAAAGGCUGGGAAUGUAGCCCAGUGGUAAAGUGCCUCUGGGUUCAAUCCUUGGUACAAAAAAAAAACAAAAACAAACCAAAAAACCAAAAAAUAAGUGCUAUAAUCUGCGGUCUUUUGUGAUUGGCUUCUUUCACAGCAUGAUGUUUUCAAGGUUCACCCUUGUAGCAUGGACUUCAUUCUUUUUAUUACAGAAUAAUAUUCCAUUGAGUAUAUUGCAUUUUAGUCCAUCAGUUGAUAGACAUGUGGGUUGUUUCCACUUUUUGGACAUUUUGAACAUUUGGUACUCUGUGUGUGUGUGUGUGUGGGGGGGGUGCUGGGGAUUGAACUCAAAGCUAGGCAAGUUCUACUGAGUUCCAUCUCCAGCCACCAUGUAC
rnacentral:lncRNA from 1 species